rnacentral:rRNA from 1 species
CCUACGGGCGGCAGCAGUGGGGAAUAUUGCACAAUGGGGGAAACCCUGAUGCAGCAACGCCGCGUGAGUGAAGAAGUAUUUCGGUAUGUAAAGCUCUAUUAGCAGGGAAGAAGAAAGACGGUACCUGACUAAGAAGCCCCGGCUAACUACGUGCCAGCAGCCGCGGUACUAAGGAGGGGGCAAGCGUUAUCCGGAUUUCCUGGGUGUAAAGGGAGCGUAGACGGGUGUGCAAGUCAGAAGUGAAAGCCCGUGGCUGAACCGCAGAACUGCUUUGGAAACUGUAUAGCUUGAGUAAGGGAGAGGUAGGCGGAAUUCCUGGUGUAGCGGUGAAAUGCGUAGAUAUUAGGAGGAACACCAAUGGCGAAGGCGGCCUGCUGGACAGAAACUGACGUUGAGGCGCGAAAGCGUGGGGAGCAAACAGGAUUAGAUACCCCGGUAGUC